GCGUUAAAGAGGUGCUAAAGUACCAAGUGCUAGUGAGUCAGUCUCAAAGCCUGUAGUGCUUAAUAAACCCAACAUCCCAAGAAAAUCAUCUGGACCUCCUACACAGAAAGCCAACGAUGAUCCUUCGGCGCCCAAGAAGUCAACCUCGAGAAGUUCAAGAAGGGCUCAGAGGCUACAACAGAGAGUCCAGCACCAAAGAAUGAAACUCCCCCUCCCCCACCCGCCUCUCACCCCAGUAGUCAGCCGCCUCCGCCUCCGCCUCUGCACUCUCAACCUUUACGUCCCAACCUGCCCCCACGACAUCCAGGACCUAUGUGAGUACCACAGAAAUGCCUCACUUAGCACUGUGACUGAAUGAUUCAGUUUAUGACAAUUCCUUUAACAUCUAAAUUUGGUGAUUAUUCACAACCUUAUAUCUAUCUGUCUGCAGAAUUCAAGAUGAAAAUUAUGAUGAUGUGGAUAGCUUUAGAAUGGGUAAGACCUAUAUAUAUUUACUAACACAACCAUACUCACAACACUGCAUUUAAAAAUACAGUGAAAAUUUAAAGGGGUGGUUGACUGUGUUUUUUUCUUGGCUUGAUUAUGUUUAUGGGGUGCAGUCUAACGUGUUAAUGCUUAGUUUUUAAAAAACGCAUUAUUUUUCACAUAAUUUACCUUUAUUCUACACCGCUCUGUCCCUUCUCCUAUAAAUGCGCUGAUGAUUUCCUGUUUUUAUGAAGCCCCUCCCUCAGAAAUACGGAAUGGUUAGCUGGCCCAGUGUGUUGUGAUUUGCUAAACUGCCUAAUGCGCGUCUAAACAUCACGCCCUUCACCCUGAGUGGCAUGUGCUCCGGUGUUGUAUUGUAAACAAUGGCAUCCACAAUAUUGCUUAUCAAUUUGAGCCCAAUAUUUAAAAUAACCGUUUUCUAUUUUAAUAUUCCAAAAGUAAUUUAUUCCUGUGAUGCAAAGUUGAAUUUUCCGCAGUCAUUAUUCCAAUUUUCAGUGUCACAUGAUCCUUCAGAAAUCAUUCUAACAUUCUAAUUUGUCGAUUUAUUUUUAUCAAUGUUAAAAACAGUUGUACUAUUAUUGUACAAUAAUGCCAGGCAUUAUUCUCCACAUGUAGCACAAUCUGAAGCCUAAACACGUUUUUUCAAAAAUUCGCUAUUGUCCACUUUCAGGGCAUCGCUAGUUCAAGUUUACUGUUAAUGCAGAAGCCGAUAAGUGCUCAAGACACAGACACAAAAAAAAAAAAAAAAAUAAAGGGUUAGCAGGUCUGUUCGAUCUUGGAGUUAAAUCGACUGCAAAAUGCAUACAAUCAUGAAUAGUUAGGCUUCUAAAGAAUUUUGUGGGUUCAAUGCAAUAAUGGUUAAGCUCAAUGGCACUUGUGGCAUAAUGUUGAUUUCCAUGAAAAACACAUUUCUACAGCAGAAUCUGACAAGCGCCCUUGUUUGUGAACACAACCUGAUAAAUCCUUUUUAGCAAAUCAGCGCACAGUAUUGAGGUCAGGUGAUAAGGUGAUAAGGCGGCUAGUCACUUUGAAAAGACGCACUAGCUGAGAGGAGUUUCGUCAAAGCUGACUGAAAUUGAUUGAGGAAUGAUAAUUCGAUGAACAUGAUGAACCCUUGAUAUUUUCUUUGGGGCAUAAAAGGAAAAUAAAAAAGAAGUUUUUUAAUGGAAACUUGCUAAAGCAGCACGUUACAGUGGUGAGGGAAAAGCUCUUUGUAUUGUGUGUAAUUACAACAACAAAGUGUGUCAGGUGUUUAUCAGUUUUUUUUUUAAAGGAAUAAAUACUUUUAGGAAAGGAUUCCUUAAACUGAUCAAAUGUGACAGUAAAGACAUUUAUAAUUUUACAAAAAAUAUACAUUUAUAUAUUUUAGAUAGAUUCUAUACUUUUGAACAUUAUAUACAUCAAAAAAUGAUGGUUUCCAUAAAACUAAUAGGUAGCACAACUGUUUUCAAGAUUGAUAAUAAAACAAAAUGUUUCUUGAGCACCAAAUUAGAAAAUUAGAAAGAUUUCUUAAGGAUCAUGUGACACUGAAGACUGUAGUAAUGAUGCUGAAAAUUCAGCUUUUAAAAUAUAUUCCAAUAAAAAAAUAGUUAGUUGAAAUUGUAAUAAUAUUUCACAAUAUUACUGUUUGCAAUGCCUUUUUGAGCAAAUAAAAAUGCUGCUUGGAUGAGCAUUAGAGGCUUCUUUCCAAAAACAUCAAAUUUAUUACCAACCCCAAACUUUUGAAUGGUAGUGUAACUAAUGUAAUCAUUUAAAUCUAAAAAAGUGAUUCAAUCCAAGUAAGUGCAGUUUCCUAGUUCUGUGUCCUAGAGGGUCUUGUGAGGCAAGUCUUGUGAGAAUGGCGUUGGAGACUUACCUGUAGCUGGUGCAUGCUGGAGAAACGGAGGUGAGGAGUGCAGCGAAAGGCUGGAGGCUUGCUGUGCCUGUUGGAGGUAAAGCUUCCAGUGCAAGUGUGUCCACCCCUUUCUUUUGGGCCUAUAUUUAUGUGCCACCAUCUCAAUGGAAACCUCCAAAAAUCUGUAGCGGAAGCCUGUGGUCAAAGAGAGAGGAGGUCAUCAUCAGGCUCAUUCACAAUGGACUCCAUCAUCAGAGUUCAGCCUUGGGAACAGCAUCUCAUUACCUGAUGGCGACCGUUGACGUCAUUCAGGUUUAACUCUGGUAGGGCAAAAUUGAAAAGAAUGAAUGAAAGGAAUGAUGCAUAAUCAGCUCUUCUCUCUCUCAUUUUACUUUAUGAUGGAUCGCUCAAUGCCAGCACCAGUUGGACUGCUUUUAGCCUGCCGAUUCGUCAGUGUCCUCCAGCAUCAAUGUUUCUUAAGGAGCUCUUAUGCAGUAGUCAAGCUUACAUGAUCAUGUUAGUUACUUUUGCAGACAUUG
rnacentral:lncRNA from 1 species